rnacentral:rRNA from 1 species
CCUACGGGUGGCAGCAGUGGGGAAUAUUGGACAAUGGGCGAAAGCCUGAUCCAGCCAUGCCGCGUGUGUGAAGAAGGCCUUCGGGUUGUAAAGCACUUUCAGUGGGGAAGAAAGCCUUGGGGCUAAUACCCUCGAGGAAGGACAUCACCCACAGAAGAAGCACCGGCUAACUCCGUGCCAGCAGCCGCGGUAAACGGAGGGUGCGAGCGUUAAUCGGAAUUACUGGGCGUAAAGCGCGCGUAGGCGGUCUGAUAAGCCGGUUGUGAAAGCCCCGGGCUCAACCUGGGAACGGCAUCCGGAACUGUCAGGCUAGAGUGCAGAAGAGGAAGGUAGAAUUCCCGGUGUAGCGGUGAAAUGCGUAGAGAUCGGGAGGAAUACCAGUGGCGAAGGCGGCCUUCUGGACUGACACUGACGCUGAGGUGCGAAAGCGUGGGUAGCAAACAGGAUUAGAUACCCUGGUAGUC